rnacentral:tRNA from 1 species
GGCGAGGUGGCCGAGUGGUUAAGGCGAUGGACAGCUAAUCCAUUGGGCUCUGCCCGCGUGGGUUCAAGUCCCACCCUCGUCG